rnacentral:rRNA from 1 species
UUAAAGUAGUAAGGGCGCAGGGUGGAUGCCUUGGCACUAAGAGCCGAUGAAAGACGUGAUAAGCUGCGAAAAGCUUCGGGGAGGAGCACAUAUCCAAUGAUCCGGAGAUAUCUGAAUGGGGAAACCCGGCAGAGGAAACCUCUGUCAGCGUGCAGUGAAUACAUAGCUGUACGUGGGGAACCCGGGGAACUGAAACAUCUAAGUACCCGGAGGAAGAGAAAGAAAAUUUAUCGAUUUCCAAAGUAGCGGCGAGCGAAAUGGAAAGAGCCCAAACCGUGAUGCGUGCAUCGCGGGGUUCGGACUGCGUUGUGGCAGACGUAAGAUAGGAGAACGGACUGGGAAGUCCGGCCGGAGAGAGUGAAAGCCUCGUAUCCGAAAUCCCAAGUCGCCUAGCAGGAUCCAGAGUAGGACGAGACACGAGAAACCUUGUCUGAACGAGCGGGGACCACCCCGUAAGGCUAAAUACUUCUUAGUGACCGAUAGCGCAUAGUACUGUGAAGGAAAGGUGAAAAGUACCCCGGGAGGGGAGUGAAAGAGAACCUGAAACCCUGUGUCUACAAGCUGUGGGACCUCUUUAUAUGAGGGACUGCGUACUUUUUGUAGAACGGUCCGGCGAGUUGUGCGUACUGGCGAGGUUAAGGACUUAAGGUCUGGAGCCGAAGUGAAAGCAAGCGUUAAUAGCGCGUCAAGUCAGUGAGUGCAGACCCGAAACCGGGUGACCUAUCCAUGUCCAGGUUGAAGCUUCCGUAAGAGGAAGUGGAGGACCGAACCCACAUCCGUUGAAAAGGGUGGGGAUGAGGUGUGGAUAGCGGAGAAAUUCCAAUCGAACCCGGAGAUAGCUGGUUCUCCUCGAAAUAGCUUUAGGGCUAGCCUCAUGAGAGUCUUAUGGAGGUAGAGCACUGAAUUGCCUAGGGGGCGUCAAAGCUUACCAAAGCAUAUCAAACUCCGAAUGCCAUCAAGAUGAUUCAUGGGAGUCAGACCAUACGAGAUAAGUUGGAUGGUCAAAAGGGAAAGAGCCCAGACCUACAGCUAAGGUCCCAAAGUGCGUGUUAAGUGGAAAAGGAUGUGGGGAUUCUAAGACAACUAGGACGUUGGCUUAGAAGCAGCCAUUCAUUGAAAGAGUGCGUAAUAGCUCACUAGUCGAGAGUCCCUGCGCCGAAAAUGUCCGGGGCUGAAACACGACACCGAAGCUUAGGAAUGUGUAAACAUUGGUAGAGGAGCAUUGCUGGCGGGAUGAAGCCAUACCGUAAGGAGUGGUGGACUGCCAGGAAGAGAGAAUGCCGGAAUGAGUAGCGAGAUGAAGGUGAGAAUCCUUCAGGCCGAAUAUCUAAGGUUUCCAGAGUAAAGCUGAUCUGCUCUGGGUAAGUCGGGACCUAAGGCGAGGUCGAAAGACGUAGUCGAUGGAUAACAGGUUGAAAUUCCUGUACCGCAUAUAAACAGAACUGUGGGGACACAGACAGGGAAUGGAAUCCGGGAGUGGAAAUCCCGGUGCAAGCGAGGUAGGAGUGCUGUUGGCAAAUCCGCAGCACGAUCUGAAGACGUGACGCGUACCGAACAUAAGUAGGGAAGUCCAGGCCCCUGGCUGUCAAGAAAAGCCGCUAUUGUUUUAUAUGUGCCCGUACCGCAAACCGACACAGGUGGAUGAGGAGAGAAUCCUAAGGCCGACGGGAGAAGUAUUGUUAAGGAACUCGGCAAAAUGACUCCGUAACUUCGGGAGAAGGAGUGCCAUGAGAGUGGCCGCAGAGAAAUGGCCCAAGCAACUGUUUAGCAAAAACACAGGUCUAUGCAAAACCGCAAGGUGAAGUAUAUGGGCUGACGCCUGCCCGGUGCUGGAAGGUUAAGGGGAGAGGUUAGCGCAAGCGAAGCUUUGAACUUAAGCCCCAGUAAACGGCGGCCGUAACUAUAACGGUCCUAAGGUAGCGAAAUUCCUUGUCGG